ACACUCUUGUUCAGAGCAUAAUGAGAAGACCACUGGGUACAUGAUGGUUAACGUUUGAGACAGAGGCCACGUGACUACCAUGUGAGUGCUCCAUCUUGCAAAUGGACCUUGAAUGCUUCCCAGUGGAGUUGACUGAACUCAUUUCUAUAGAGCAGAUAUGUGCUGUUACUGACGAUUCCAACCCAAACUGCAUUGUUAUAAGCAAAGCCAUUAGCUAUAUGUACAACCUUGGGAAAGUUACCGAAUCCCUCAAGGUCUCAGCACGGACUUCUUCAGUAGCUGGCUAGAAUCCCACUGCCUUUAACCCAAAUGACUAAAAUUGAGGUACAGUUGAUAGAUGCUGAAUAAAGUGUACUCAACCUGCUGGCAUGCCUUGCAGAGGAUGGAGAAGACCCAGAACAGGAAGAAAUGCUGUUUCAGGGUGCCCCAAAGAGUUUACUCACCUGUAACAUGGGACCUCAGAGGGGAUAUGCAAGCAUUCAAGACUCUGUCAGCUUAGCAUUUCUGGAAACUAUCAUCCAUAAAGGUAAAUUAUAAAGUGACUUUAGCUUCAUAAAGGGUUCUGUGGGAUAAUCCAUGCAUAGCACUCCACUGCAUACAGAGUGCAUACGUACCAUUAAAUUAUAAGAUUUUUGCAUGCUCAACAA
ensembl:lincRNA Gm36633 predicted gene, 36633